CUUGGGUCCGCUUCCACACUGUGGAAGCUUUGCUCUUUCGCUCUUCACAAUAAAUCUUGCGGCUGCUCACUCUUUGGGUCUGCACUACCUUUAUGAGCUGUAACACUCACCAUGAGGGUCUGUGUCUUCAUUCCUUGAAGUCAGUGAGACCACGAACCCACUGGGAGGAACAAACAACUCCAGAUGCGCCACCUUUAAGAGCUGUAACACUCACCGCAAAGGUCUGUGGCUUCACUUCUGAAGUCAGCGAGACCACGAACCCACUGGAAGGAAGAAACUCCAGACACACCAUCUUUAAGAGCUGUAACACUCACCGCAAAGGUCUGUGGCUUCAUUCUCAAAGUCAGUGACACCAAGAACCCACCAGAAGGAAUAAAUUCUGGACACAUUUUGGUGACCACGAAGGGACUAUCACCUAUCGCCAAGUGGAUCGAGGCCAUCAAGCUACAGAUGGUCUUACAAAUGGAACCCCAAAUGAGCUCAACUAACAACUUCUACUAAGGACCCCUGGGCCAACCCACUGGCCCUUUGACUGGCCUAAAGAGUUCCCCUCUGAAGGACACUACAAUUGCAGGGACCCUUCUUUGCCCCUAUCCAGCAGGAAGUAGCUAGAGCGGUCAUUGUCCAAUUCCCAACUGCAGUUGGGGUGUCCUGUUUAGAGGGGGGAUUGAGAGGUGAAGCCAGCUGGACUUCCUGGGUCGAGUGGGGACUUGGAGAACAUUUCUGUCUAGCUAAAGGAUUGUAAAUGCACCAAUGAGCACUCUGUAAAAAUGCACCAAUCAGCGCUCUGUGUCUAGCUGAAAGAUUGUAAAUGCACCAAUCAGCACUCUGUAAAAACAUACCAAUCAGCGCUCUGUGUCUAGCUAAAGGAUUGUAAACGCACUGAUCAGCACUCUGUAAAAUGGACCAAUCAGCGUUCUGUAAAAUGGACCAAUCAGCAGGACAUGGGUGGGGCCAAACAAGGGAAUAAAAGCUGGUCACCCCAGCCAGCAGUGGCAAGCCACUCGGGUCCCCUUCCACACUGUGGAAGCUUUGUUCUUUUGCUCUUCACAAUAAAUCUUGCUGUUGCUCACUUUUUGGGUCUGCACUACCUUUAUGAGCUGUAACACUCACCACAAGGGUCUGCAGCUUCAUUCCUUGAAGUCAGUGAGUCCACAAAUCCACCAGGAUGAACAAACAACUCCGGAUGCACCACCUUUAAGAGCUGUAACACUCACUGCGAAAGUCUGCGGCUUCACUCCUGAAGUCAGCGAGACCAUGAUCCCACUGGAAGGAAGAAACUCCAGGCACAUCUGAACAUCUGAAGGAACAAACUCCAGACACACCAUCUUUAAGAGCUGUAACACUCACCACGAAGGUCUGCAGCUUCAUUCUUGAAGUCAGCGACAUAAGAACCCACUGGAAGGAAUAAAUUCCGGACACAUCAGCACUAUUCAGAGAGGUCCAUGGCAGCUGACCUCAGGCUGGUGUCCAUUGGAGUGGACCUGAUGACUGUGUUCCUGGACCAUAUGUCCACAGGGGCUGGACUGAAGCCCAGUUCCAAGGAUGUUGACCUGGCACUGAGACUAGAGAGGCUCUCCUUCUGGCUUUGAAGAGGUAAGCUGUCAUAUGUGAGGGAGCAUGUGACAAGGAACCAUGCAGAUCUCCACAAAGCUGAGAGAAGCCUCUGGUUGACAGCCAGCAAGGAAGAGGAGAUCUCAGUCCUGCAACUACAUAGAACCAAAUUCUGUCAACGCCGACUUGACCUUGAGCUCCAGAAAGGAAUGCUGUAUGGAUGACAUCUAACUGGUUUGGCUCAGGGUCUCAUUGCAGCUUUGUGAGAACUUCAGCAAAACCAGUUAGGUUGUACCCAGAAUCCUUACCCAUAGAAACAAAGAUAAUAAAGGUAUGCUGUUUUAAGCUUCUAAGCUUGUGGUAAACUGGUUUGCAGCAAUAGAGAACUAAUACAUCAGGGGGCAAAUCCAGAAAAUACAUUAUGAACAAGACAUAAAUGGAAAAUAAGAACAAAAUUUUAUAGAUACUACAGAUAGGGACUUUAGACAGUUAUUAAGUUGAAAAACAAAUUUAAUUCUGAGAUUCCUCGUGGCCAAAAUCAAAGGAAAAAGAUAAACUUUCAUUAUUAUUUUUGCACCUAUGUUUGUGUGUAGCACAUGAUUCCUGCUUGCAGGCUUAAAAGACACAAACAGCGUAAUGUUAAAUAUCAAUCUUGGGGUAGUAGUGUCAGAAAGGUACAGCUGAUAUGCAGGGCUUAGGGCUUAGAGGGGAGUAAGAUAGCAGGACAAAAGGAUAAUUCUGUUGCUGCUGCAUUAGAAAGUCAGAUAGGAUUAUUUAAAAUGUUGUGGUAUUCAAUCUACCAAAACUGUGGUAGAUUUCUCCAAGGAAGCAACUCCCCAGUGGAAAUUUAUCUCACAUCUUCUAUGCAGAGCUGAGUGAGGGAAGGGACCAGUUUUAGUACCUCUUAUCUCUGCUACCAACCUUGUCAUUCAUCAGGCCCAACGAAUAAGAAUUCACUGAUAGAUUUUAAACUGGGCAUUGACCUGACAGAGAAUCAAUUUGGGCAGGAGGGCGAAGUGGGCUAGAGAAGGCAGGUAGAAGAAUCACUCAGUAAACUCAGUUUGAGAUGGUGGCAUUCUGGACUAGCAUAGUAGCAAUGGGGAUAGAAGUGGGGCUUUGAAGAGAAAUGUUUAGAGUUGUCUGAUUAGUGGAAACACUGAAUGGGGGUUUUCAGAGCUGUAGAGGGACAAUUAUAAGAGAAGAAUGUCAUAAAAACCAAGGAGGAAAUAGUUUCAGAAGAGAGUCAUUAACUACAUCAAAUGCUGCAAGGAAGUAAGUUCCUAUGACAAUUGGUAAAUUUCCAUUGCAUGUGUCAGUUCAAGGGUGAUUUGAGACCUCUAGUGGUAC
rnacentral:lncRNA from 10 species